UACGGAGGGAGCUAGCGUUGUUCGGAAUUACUGGGCGUAAAGCGCACGUAGGCGGCGCAGCAAGUCAGGGGUGAAAUCCCGGAGCUCAACUCCGGAACUGCCUUUGAAACUGCAGUGCUAGAAUCUUGGAGAGGCGAGUGGGAAUUCCGAAGUGUAGAGGUGAAAUUCGUAGAUAUUCGGAAGAAACACCAGUGGCGAAGGCGACUCGCUGGACAAGUAUUGACGCUGAGGUGCGAAAGCGUGGGGAGCAAACAGGG
rnacentral:rRNA from 1 species